rnacentral:tRNA from 1 species
GGUGGAAUUCCCGAGUGGCCAAAGGGGGCAGACUGUAAAUCUGCUAGCAGUGCUUUCCGUGGUUCGAAUCCACGUUCCACCA